rnacentral:sRNA from 1 species
UUACUAUCUGCGACAUGGAAGAUUCGAACCUGCCGCAGGUUCGGGUCUCAUGCAGUGAGACAACGGAGCCGUUUACGGCGACGGCCCGAAGGGCGAGCGAAGCGAGUCAUCCUGCACGACCCACCA